UACGUAGGGUGCGAGCGUUGUCCGGAAUUAUUGGGCGUAAAGAGCUCGUAGGCGGUCUGUCGCGUCGGUCGUGAAAACUUGGGGCUUAACCCUGAGCUUGCGGUCGAUACGGGCAUGACUGGAGUUCGGCAGGGGAGACUGGAAUUCCUGGUGUAGCGGUGAAAUGCGCAGAUAUCAGGAGGAACACCGGUGGCGAAGGCGGGUCUCUGAGCCGAUGACUGACGCUGAGGAGCGAAAGCGUGGGGAGCGAACAGG
rnacentral:rRNA from 1 species